rnacentral:rRNA from 1 species
UACGGAGGGUGCAAGCGUUAAUCGGAAUUACUGGGCGUAAAGCGUGCGCAGGCGGUUUGUUAAGUCUGUUGUGAAAUCCCCGAGCUCAACUUGGGAAUUGCAAUGGAUACUGGCAGGCUGGAGUAUGGUAGAGGAAGGUGGAAUUCCCGGUGUAGCAGUGAAAUGCGUAGAGAUCGGGAGGAACACCAGUGGCGAAGGCGGCCUUCUGGACCAAUACUGACGCUCAUGUGCGAAAGCGUGGGGAGCAAACAGG